AACGGUCUAUACCUGCGGUACCUGCGGAGGGAUCAUUACUGAAUUGAUUUUGGGGAUGUUGCUGGUCUCUUGAGGCAAUGGUGCACUCCCUCAAACAUUUCACAAUUUCCAUCUUACCCAUGUGCACAUCCUGUAGGUGGUCUCCCAACCCACCCUCCAAGGAAAGGGGGGGAGUGUGUGGGUCUGGUCUCCUAUGUAUUUCCUUGCCAACAUCACACGUUUUGACUGGAUGAAUCCUGU
rnacentral:misc_RNA from 1 species